rnacentral:tRNA from 1 species
UGGGGUUGUGGCUCAGUGGCAGAGUGCUUGCCUAGCAUGUGUGAGGCACUGGGUUUGAUCCUCAGCACCACAA